UAACGCUUCUUAAUGGGAGCAAGCAGGAGUAGAGAGUGGAUAUAAUUUUAAAUGUCAUUUCUGUUAUAUCUACGUUUAGGUGACACAUGGAACGAUGGGAAUCGAUUCUGCUUUAACAGCAAGUGACGCCAGUGGAUUUUUAGCAUGUGACACAAGAGGAGGGCUAAUAGAGAAGAUACUCAAUUCAGAACAGAGUCUUGGAAAUUACCUGAGGUACAACAGCCAGAGUCCCACCCUGCGCUUUCCUUCUUAUUGUAGAAAUCCAUGAAGGACUAGACUGUUGGGGGUUGGGUUGGACUGUGAAUGGUUGGAAAAUCUGGAGGUGAGCAAGAGAAUGAAGGGGGCUGAGGUUGCCUAUGGACUUCUACUAGGAGGGAAUUGGAUGCUGAAUCAGGGUGGAGGCACUGGACGGGGCCAUGUGACCUCGGUAGCAUAUGAUUCUUGUCUACUGAGGUCACCUUGGGUAGAUGGCCUCACUGGGACUAUUAGGGCUUAGAUUUUUGAAAUAGCCUAGUGAUCAUAGAAUACCCAUGUGUAAGCUGUACAUAUGAAGUCCAAAUAUUGAAGGGUUUUUAAAAGGCAUUUCAAGCAGUCCUUUCUGCCCAGUACAGAAGGUUCUGUACUGGAUGUCCUAAACUACCUUUCAGGCUUGACCUGAUUCAGUUUCUUUGGAACUGCUUUCUGUAUGUACAUAGACAAUUAUUUAUAUCUGUACUUUCUGAGUCAUUGCUUAGUGCAGGUUCACAUCAUCAGAUAGACCUUUAAGUCAAUCUACAGAAGGUUUUCUAGUGAUUUUUUUGUGAUUAGAGCUGUGUGUGUGUGUGUGUGUGUGUCUAAGUUUUAGGGGUUUGGACCUCUGGAAUUAACCACCACUCAACCAUUUCCUAAAGUUUAAGACUCCUUUCUGCCUACUGAUAACACUAUCAAUGCCAUUUUGGACUAAAGUACAGAUGCGGAUUAGGUGAGUCUUUUUUUUUUUUUUUUUUUUUUUAAGAGCGAGAGAGAGCAGGGAGAGGUAGAGGGAGAAGGAGAGUGAGAAUCCAAAGCAGGCUCCACCCUCAGCAUGGAGCGUGAGG
rnacentral:lncRNA from 12 species